rnacentral:rRNA from 1 species
UCCUACGGGGGGCAGCAGUGAGGAAUAUUGGUCAAUGGCCGGAAGGCUGAACCAGCCAAGCCGCGUGAAGGACGAAGGUGCCAAGCAUUGUAAACUUCUUUUGUCAAGGGACAAAAUCAGGCUCGAGAGCCUGACCGAGGGUACUUGAAGAAAAAGCAUCGGCUAACUCCGUGCCAGCAGCCGCGGUAAUACGUAGGGGGCAAGCGUUAUCCGGAUUUACUGGGUGUAAAGGGAGCGUAGGUGGCGUGCCAAGUCAGGAGUGAAAACCCAGGGCCCAACCCUGGGACUGCUCUUGAAACUGGCAG